ACAGCAGAGACCCCGAUGUGGGGCUCAAACUCACAAACCGUGAGGUCGUGACCUGAGCCGAAGUCGGGCGCUGAACCGACUGAGCCAAAUAACCGCCAUUUUUGAACACUUCUCAUGGAGUCAGGCCAUCUCACUGCAUCCUUCCCUUGACGCUGUGAGAUGGGUACUAUUUCUGCCCCACUUCAAGGGGAGACACCGAGGCUCACACAAGUGAAAUAACUUGCCACCAACUACACAGCCAGUAAAUGGUGGGACCUAUUUGACGCCAAGCUGUAUUGCUUUUCAAUAGAAAAUAUGCCCAGUGUAAACUCGGUAACUCUUAGCGGCUGUUUACUAGUGGGAAACAAAUCUGUCUCAUUUGAUCAUGAGCAGUUAUUCAGAAUGACUCCCCUGAACCAAAGAAGACCGUUUCUACUGGCCAGUUCUCCCAAUGUCGUGGCUAGCGAGGAUAUGGAUACUCCAAAUUGCGUUUCUCUUCCAGAACGCCAAACAGAAGCUACCCAAACGCGCAUUAACUCACCUUCACGACAGAACAGAUCAUUUCACUCGGAGCUACAAAAACACCAGAGUGUUGGCGGGUGAGAGGCUAAGAGAAAAAUUACCAGGUGUACUCACAACUGCAAAGAAAAGAUCUUUCCCUUCCCCUGCCGUUCCUGAAACCAGCCAGGGCGCGCCCGGUCGUAGUCUGACAUAAAGGCGGGAACCAAUCAAGUUCUGCUGAAUGGUUUGAAAUAAAGGCGGGAACCAAUCAAGUUCUGCUGAGCGUUCAAAUUUAAAUGUCAGCCUAUAACAACUCUGUAACCUCAAAAAAAUCCCUAACUUGUUUGUGCCUGUCUAUAAAAGAAGCUGUAAGAUCCUUGCUCGGGGCCCCUUGCGUCACCGGCGGCGAGUGCGCGGAGGACCGGGUUCGAACCUGCAAUAAACGACCCUUGCUGCUUGGCUUUGACUCUGGACUCUGGUGGUUUGUUUUCGGGGGGUCUCUCGAAUCGGGGCAUAUCAACGGGUACUAUAAAAUCAUCUCGAUCACACUUGCCACCUCACAGCACCAUUACACUUUUACUCCUGCAUUUCCCCACGUGGCUGGGUGCUUUCCGAGGUCAGGGCCUGACUUACUCGUGGUGACCAGACCCUGGCCCCACACUGCGUUUGUUGAGUUAGUGAAUAAUACGCGAGCGCGCCCUGGAUCCCAACAUCUAUACACACUUUAUCUCCAUUCUCCCAGUAACUGUGGGUGGUAUAGGUUUUUGAGAUCCCCUUCUUCGUAGGAAGAGACGGGCGCUGGGGGAGAGCAAGUGACUGGCCCCAAGGUCACCCCCCCCCCCCCGGUAGACUGUAGUUCCAGGCUUCAUACUCAAGUCACAGGCUUCGAAGCCCCGUUUUCAUGCUUUUUGUAAUAAGGACCUCCAAGGUAAAGGUGUGCUGAACUCAGGAACUAGACUAGCCCUCAUGUCUACCAGCUCUGAACUGUCUUAUUACUAAGCAAAUUGAAUAGAGGAAAAUCGCAGCCUACACACCUUUAAUGUACAUGGAUUCAGUCACGUAUGGUGUAUGCACCUGCCCAGACCUGACCCUGUCCUGUAGCCCCUGCAAAUCCAGAAAAGACUUGACUGGAUGCGAAUCAACCCCUCAGAUGGUUGACGGUCCUUUCAAACGUUUUGGCAAGGGGAAAGGAACAACUACCCGGGAAACUCAACAUUUUGAGGCGAUCUACAGCUUGGUAAAUACCAAAAAGAGUGGAAACAGGGUGAUAAAAAGAAAUAUAAAUAGCCUCACCGUUAUCUGCAGCGUACAUUAUAACGCGGAACGGCGGCUGGUGGCUCUCUGUAGAAAACACAACCUCUUUGCAAUGUUUUGUUUGUGUUACUGUUUCUGUUAGUGUGAACGAAUUACAAAUAAAGACUCACUUCAAUAUUUA